rnacentral:rRNA from 1 species
AGUGAACGCUGGCGGUAGGCCUAACACAUGCAAGUCGAACGGCAGCACAGUAAGAGCUUGCUCUUACGGGUGGCGAGUGGCGGACGGGUGAGGAAUACAUCGGAAUCUACUUUUUCGUGGGGGAUAACGUAGGGAAACUUACGCUAAUACCGCAUACGACCUACGGGUGAAAGCAGGGGAUCUUCGGACCUUGCGCGAUUGAAUGAGCCGAUGUCGGAUUAGCUAGUUGGCGGGGUAAAGGCCCACCAAGGCGACGAUUCGUAGCUGGUCUGAGAGGAUGAUCAGCCACACUGGAACUGAGACACGGUCCAGACUCCUACGGGAGGCAGCAGUGGGGAAUAUUGGACAAUGGGCGAAAGCCUGAUCCAGCCAUACCGCGUGGGUGAAGAAGGCCUUCGGGUUGUAAAGCCCUUUUGUUGGGAAAGAAAAGCAGCAGGUUAAUACCCCGCUGUUCUGACGGUACCCAAAGAAUAAGCACCGGCUAACUUCGUG